GACGAACGCUGGCGGCGUGCUUUACACAUGCAAGUCGAGCGGUGAACCGCCUUCGGGUGGGAAUCAGCGGCGAACGGGUGAGUAACACGUGGGCAACCUGCCCCGAGCACCGGAAUAACUUCGGGAAACCGAAGCUAAUGCCGGAUACGUCAACGGACCGCAUGGUCUCGUUGUGGAAAGAAUUUCGGCUCGGGAUGGGCCCGCGGACUAUCAGCUUGUUGGUGGGGUAACGGCCUACCAAGGCUAUGACGGAUAGCCGGCCUGAGAGGGCGACCGGCCACACUGGGACUGAGACACGGCCCAGACUCCUACGGGAGGCAGCAGUGGGGAAUAUUGCGCAAUGGGCGAAAGCCUGACGCAGCAACGCCGCGUGAGGGAUGACGGCCUUCGGGUUGUAAACCUCUUUCAGCUCCGACGAAGCGAAAGUGACUGUAGGAGCAGAAGAAGCACCGGCUAACUACGUGCCAGCCGCCGCCGUAACAC
rnacentral:rRNA from 1 species